CUUUGAUUAAAAUGGGAUCAAGUCUCUGAUGUAUUAACACUUAGGACACUUCCUUUUGGUCCUUAUCUUAUCUCACUGCUCCCUGCUUCUUUCAAAAAAGAGGCCACAGGAAAAGGAUUUUUUUCCCCAAAAAGGUCUGAGGAGUGCCAUCUGUGAAACUAGCACUGUUACUAUGUCAAAUCCAGCUGAAUAGGUCAGCUCAGGUUCCGUGAGCCAUGGAGGAUCCAUACUCUGAGAUGGAGUUUCUGUGAAUUCAGGACACGGCCUGAGUCCUGGGACACCGGGUGAGACAGAAGUGGGAGUGUGAUUCAUGUAUGCACGGUCAUGCUGAGGCGGUUCCCAAGGAUCAGAUAGUCGCUGAUGAGUCCCUGAGUGAGUGAAAUGAGUCGUCUGUCUUUUUGGUGAAUAAUUUGGGCUGGCAAGUUUUCCACCGUGGAUUGCACUUCUUCAGAGAAGACAGAAAGAUAGAGUGAGGAGGCCUUUCUCAUUACAACCACCGUCGACACAGAUGUUGCAGCCCUGUCCUCAGAAUCAAGUGCUGUGAAUUGUUCUCCCUUGUCCUUGGCAAUAAAAAUUAA